rnacentral:sRNA from 1 species
GCUGGGAUUGGUGGUGCACGCCUGUAAUCCAGCAGCUUGGAAGACUGAGGCAGGAGGAUCACAAGUUCAAAGCCAGCCUCAGCAACUUAGUGAGACCCUGUUUCUA